GACGGAGGGUGCUAGCGUUGUUCGGAUUUACUGGGCGUAAAGGGCGCGUAGGCGGCCUUCUCAGUCGGGUGUGAAAGCCCGGGGCUCAACCCCGGAACGGCACCCGAGACGGGAAGGCUGGAGACCGGGAGAGGAGGGUGGAAUAGCCAGUAUAGAGGUGAAAUUCGUAGAUAUCGAGAGGAACACCGGUGGCGAAGGCGGCCAACUGGACAGAUACUGACGCUGAGACACGAAAGCGUGGGGAGCAAACAGG
rnacentral:rRNA from 1 species